rnacentral:rRNA from 1 species
GCUCAGUAACACGUGGAUAACCUACCCUUAGGACUGGGAUAACCUUGGGAAACUGAGGAUAAUACCGGAUAGGCAAUUAUUCCUGGAAUGGAUUUUUGUUUAAAUGUUUUUUCGCCUAAGGAUGGGUCUGCGGCCGAUUAGGUAGUUGGUUAGGUAAUGGCUUACCAAGCCGUUGAUCGGUACGGGUUGUGAGAGCAAGAGCCCGGAGAUGGAACCUGAGACAAGGUUCCAGGCCCUACGGGGUGCAGCAGGCGCGAAACCUCCGCAAUGUGAGAAAUCGCGACGGGGGGAUCCCAAGUGCCAUUCUUAACGGGAUGGCUUUUCAUUAGUGUAAAGAGCUUUUGGAAUAAGAGCUGGGCAAGACCGGUGCCAGCCGCCGCGGUAACACCGGCAGCUCUAGUGGUAGCAAUUUUUAUUGGGCCUAAAGCGUCCGUAGCCGGUUUAAUAAGUCUCUGGUGAAAUCCUGUAGCUUAACUGUGGGAAUUGCUGGAGAUACUAUUAGACUUGAGACCGGGAGAGGUUAGAGGUACUCCCAGGGUAGAGGUGAAAUUCUGUAAUCCUGGGAGGACCGCCUGUUGCGAAGGCGUCUAACUGGAACGGUUCUGACGGUGAGGGACGAAAGUUAGGGGCGCGAACCGGAUUAGAUACCCGGGUAGUCCUAACUGUAAACGAUGCGGACUUGGUGUUGGGGUGGCUUUGAGCUGCUCCAGUGCCGAAGGGAAGCUGUUAAGUCCGCCGCCUGGGAAGUACGGUCGCAAGACUGAAACUUAAGGGAAUUGGCGGGGGAGCACCACAACGCGUGGAGCCUGCGGUUUAAUUGGAUUCAACGCCGGACAUCUCACCAGAGGCGACAGCUGUAUGAUAGCCAGGCUGAUGACUUUGCUUGACUAGCUGAGAGGAGGUGCAUGGCCGCCGUCAGCUCGUACCGUGAGGCGUCCUGUUAAGUCAGGCAACGAGCGAGACCCACGCCCUUAGUUACCAGCGGAUCCUUUUGGAUGCCGGGCACACUAAGGGGACCGCCUGUGAUAAACAGGAGGAAGGAGUGGACGACGGUAGGUCCGUAUGCCCCGAAUCCUCUGGGCAACACGCGGGCUACAAUGGCUAAGACAAUGGGUUCCGACACCGAAAGGUGGAGGUAAUCCUCUAAACUUAGUCGUAGUUCGGAUUGAGGACUGUAACUCGUUCUCAUGAAGCUGGAAUGCGUAGUAAUCGCGUAUCACUAUUGCGCGGUGAAUACGUCCCUGCUCCUUGCACACACCG